UGCAGCGAUGCCGCGUGAGUGAAGAAGGCCUUUGGGUUGUAAAGCUCUUUCGUCGGGGAAGAAAAUGACUGUACCCGAAUAAGAAGGUCCGGCUAACUUCGUGCCAGCAGCCGCGGUAAUACGAAGGGACCUAGCGUAGUUCGGAAUUACUGGGCUUAAAGAGUUCGUAGGUGGUUAAAAAAGUUGGUGGUGAAAUCCCAGAGCUUAACUCUGGAACUGCCAUCAAAACUUUUUAACUAGAGUAUGAUAGAGGAAAGUAGAAUUUCUAGUGUAGAGGUGAAAUUCGUAGAUAUUAGAAAGAAUACCAAUUGCGAAGGCAGCUUUCUGGAUCAUUACUGACACUGAGGAACGAAAGCAUGGGUAGCGAAGAGGAUUAGAUACCCUCGUAGUCCAUGCCGUAAACGAUGUGUGCUAGACGUUGGAAAUUUAUU
rnacentral:rRNA from 1 species